rnacentral:sRNA from 1 species
UCUCCCUUACAAAUCAAUUUUGCGUUAGUUAGGAACUCUCCACCUUUCGCGUUUUGGGUUAUUGGGGAGCGUUAUAUUGGAUCAUAUCGUAUCCUAUUCACAUUCGCGGUUCCUUUUUGCUUUCAGAUUUUUCCUUCAUAAAUGAGUUGAUUUUGGAGGCCGAUUGCUAGCUUCUGAAAAGUUACCAUCUCCUGCAUACUACUCUGCCGAUUGUACAUUUUGCAAAUUUCCUCGCGAUGGUCUCUAUUGAGGCUGUGGAACCCCAGCGGCAGAAUAAGCGGAAAGCCGCUGCUGCAAGCAUUCAGACGACAUCACGCCCGAUAAAACGACGAGCAUCGAAGGCUUGCUGCUGUUGCAGGGCGCGCAAGGUCCGAUGUGAUGUGGUAGAAAAUGGUUCUCCGUGUACCAAUUGCAGAUUGGACGCAGUUAAAUGCGUCGUCACAGAGAGCAAGCGCAGAAAGAAAUCCCGAACUGAGGGAAGUGCCUCAAAGCCGCCACAAGUACAAUCCGCCAAUGAUUCCGCAUUUGCCUUCAACACCAAUAAUGA